rnacentral:rRNA from 1 species
UGGGGAAUAUUGGACAAUGGGCGAAAGCCUGAUCCAGCAACGCCGCGUGGGUGAUGAAGGCCUUCGGGUUGUAAAGCCCUGUCGGAUGGAACGAAACCGGCAGACUUAACACGUCUGUCAUUGACGGUACCAUCAAAGGAAGCACCGGCUAACUCUGUGCCAGCAGCCGCGGUAAGACAGAGGGUGCAAGCGUUGUUCGGAAUCACUGGGCGUAAAGGGCGCGUAGGUUGUCUGGUUUGUCUGUUGUGAAAUCCCAUGGCUCAACCAUGGAAAUGCAAUGGAAACUGCCAGACUAGAGUGCAAGAGGGGAUGGCGGAAUUCCCGGUGUAGAAGUGAAAUUCGUAGAUACCGGGAGGAACACCUGUGGCGAAAGCGGCCAUCUGGAUUGUAACUGACACUGAGGCGCGAAAGCAUGGGGAGCAAACAGG